rnacentral:rRNA from 1 species
UACGGGGGGGGCAAGCGUUUUUCGGAAUUCCUGGGCGUAAAGGGCUCGUAGGCUGCCAACUCAGUCAGACGUGAAAUCCCUCGGCUUAACCGGGGAACUGCGUCUGAUACCGGAUGGCUAGAGUUUGGGAGAGGGAUGCGGAAUUCCAGGUGUAGCGGUGAAAUGCGUAGAUAUCUGGAGGAACACCGGUGGCGAAGGCGGCAUCCUGGACCAUUAUUGACGCUGAGGAGCGAAAGCCAGGGGAGCAAACGGG